rnacentral:rRNA from 1 species
GACGAACGCUGGCGGCGUGCUUAACACAUGCAAGUCGAGCGAGAGGCGGACGGGUGAGUAAUGUAUGGGGACUGCCCGAUAGAGGGGGAUAACUACUGGAAACGGUAGCUAAUACCGCAUACUAUCGGAUAACCCAUAUGGGAUUAGCUAGUAGGUGAGGUAAUGGCUCACCUGGGCGACGCUCCCUAGCUGGUCUGAGGGGAUGAUCAGCCACACUGGGACGAGUACACGGCCCAUACUCCUACGGAGGCAGCAGUGGGGAAUAUUGUACAAGGGGCGCAAGCCUGAUGCAGCCAUGCCGGGUGUAUGAAGAAGGCCCUAGGGUUGUAAAGUACUUUCAGUCGGGAGGCGUUACCGACAGAAGAAGCACCGGCUAACUCCGUGCCAGCAGCCGCGGUAAUUC